GCGGGUAUAGUAUAGUGAUCAUUACAAUGGCCUUCCAAGCCGAAGACGCGGGUUUGAUUCCCGCUACCCGCUCCA
rnacentral:tRNA from 1 species